UACGUAGGGGGCGAGCGUUAUCCGGAUUCACUGGGUGUAAAGGGAGCGUAGACGGCCAUGCAAGCCAGGGGUGAAAGCCCGGGGCCCAACCCCGGGACUGCCCUUGGAACUGCAUGGCUGGAGUGCGGGAGGGGCAGGCGGAAUUCCUGGUGUAGCGGUGAAAUGCUUAGAUAUUAGGAGGAACACCAGUGGCGAAGGCGGCUUACUGGACGGCAACUGACGCUGAGGCUCGAAAGCGUGGGGAGCAAACAGG
rnacentral:rRNA from 1 species